CGUUACCCAGCCAGGUCCUAAGUCUGAGCUCACUCGACCGGACUGCAAGUCUCCACUCUUAUCUGUCUCUGGAACUCCCAGAGCCAGGAAGGUCAGAAUGAAAUUCAAAAUAGAAAUGAAAAUGCAGGAAGGUCUGCAUCGCUUUUCCUGUGCUCUGCUCCCUCAGAAUAUUCUCUUCCCAUGUGUUGACUUUGAAGACCGGAAGGCGUUGGGAUCCAGAACCAGGCUACUCACUGAUGCUGGACCAGCCCUGAGAACCAGAGACCCAACUGCAGGUAAUAAGGGAGGGGUCCUGGCCCCUCCCUCUAGUUUUGAUAUCAGCAGUGGGCUCCAUCCACUGUACUGCCAAUUAAUGUACUGGAGAGAACAAGGACAGACCUUGAUGCCAGUAAUGCACUGAGAUUUGAGACAAGUUUCCAAAGAGAGCCUUGAAGAUGGAGUCUUGACACAACAGAAACCAAUUCAAUCAAGGUUAAAUUUUAAAAAAAAAAAAAAAAAAAAAGAGGUGUUUUUUUUUUCCAGAAGAAAUUAAGGUAACAAAUGGAACAAAAAAGUGUUUCCAGACCCUGGAAAGCCAUCAAGAACCUAGGCAGGUCUCUCUUUGUCUCUCCCUCUUUUUCUCUGUCUCUCUUCCCACACCCUCCCUUUCUUUGUGGUGAAAUAUGGCAGUCCCCCAUCUCUCAAGUUUAUAGCACUGAAUAACAGCCACUGCAUGUCAGUUCCAAAUUCCCUGGAAGAGAUUCUGAAGGCCCCUGCUUGGAUCAGAUGAUACUAACAUGUCUGCCAGAGACCCGUGCCUGAGCUGGAGGUGGAGUUCUCAAGAAAAUAAAUCACCGUGAGGAUAGUCACCAUAAAGAUUUCAACUACAAAAAAGAUCACGACUUCUGGAGCCAACUAGCAACCAAAACCAACCAAUGCUGAACCUCAGCUCAUACGACAUGUGGCAAUAGAGCUAUUAGGGCAUCUUCCGCCUUAAGCAAAGGUGGGCUCUUAGAACCAAGUCUGAAAUGUGGAGACCAAGUAACCACAGACGGGAAAAUGAUUUUAGAAAUCCAACUGGCAGGCCCAUCCCUAACAUUCAUGGCACCCAGAAUAAAAAUACAAAGGCCCAUAUACCACAUGUCUGAAUAUUUAAAGUUAUUGUUUUAGUUUGCUAAAGAAUGCCAAUGCAAAAAUACCAGAAAUAGGUUGGCUUUUAUAAUGAGAAUUUAUUGGGGUAAAAUCUUACAGUUCCAAGGCUCUCAAAAUGUCCAAAUCAAGGCAUCAUCAGAAAUGCUGGCUCCCCAAAGGUUGGCUGCCAGCAGACCCUGGAUGCCUGCUACAUGGCAAAGAAAAUAGUGACUGGUCUCUGCCUUCUUCAGACUCACUCUUCUCCUGGGCUCAGCUGUGGAUGAUCAAGUGUAUGGCUCCUCUCUCCCUGGGCUGUCUCUUCAGCUUCUGGGUCCUCUGCUGAUACCAGCCUCCAGCCUCUGUCUCAGCUUUUCGUGAUUUCUCUGUCUUUCUGCAGUUGUAGGCAAACCUGGAGUCCUCUCUCACAUGGCAGGGUAAACUGGCAGCUCUCAUUUCCUGUGUUCUGCUUAUAUAAGACUCUGAUAAAAGGAGUAGGGCCCAUCCUGGGCCCCACAAUCUAAUCAAGGGCAUUAACUGAUGUGAUCUAAUCAAAACUGAUCUAAUCAAAAGGCCCCUUGACUGAAUCUAACCAAAAGGUGCCAUAUACAAUAGGUUCACAUCCAUAGAAAUGGGUUAGCUUAAGAACAUAAUUUUCUGGGGUCCACAAAGGACUCAAACCAGGGCGGUUAUAAGUGGCAGUGUUAAAUAAAAUAUAUUUUCUCUCCCAUCUUGAGAAAUAUAACUUUCAUAACGAGUUGGAAGGUGAGUGUCUUGCUUUCCAGUGACUGGCAUAACAAAGGACCACAAACAGAGUGGCAAAAAGAACAGAAAUUUAUUGUCUCCCUGUUCUGGAAGCUAGAAGUCCAAAAUGAAGUUGUUGGCAGAGUCAUGUGCCCUCUAAAAUCUCUAGGGGAGACUCCUUCCUUGCCCGUUCUAGCUUCUGGUGUUGCCGGCAGUCCUCGGCAUCCCUUGGCUUGCAGCACUUCAAUCUCUGCUUCUAUCACCAACAAGGCAUUCUUUCAUUCCUGUCUCCUUCCUAUGGUGUUCUCUCCAUUUUCUAUGAGGACACCAAUCAUAUUGAAUGAAGGUCCCACCCUACUCCAGUCUGACCUCAUUUUAACUUGCCUAAAUCUAUCUGUAGCGACCCUAUUUCCAAAUAAGGAAUUUUGACCUACCUUUUUGGGGAACACAAUUCAACCCAUAACCAGGUUCAAAUUUAGAAUUCUCACAUGCCUCCGAAUUCCACAUUGGACCAUAAUGGUACAAGAGCUGGCCCAAGGGCCUCUUCACCCCCUUUUCUUCCAUCCCCGGUGUUUACGAGGGGACUCACUCAUGCAUGUGACUCCCAUCCUACUCACCCAAUCUUUGCCACACCCCCUGCCCAGGAGAUGAGAGCAGAUCCUGGAAAUGGGCUCUGUGCUACUUGAGCUGAGAAUUUCAGAGUCCUGCGUACCCAGAGCACAGGCUAGAGUACGGUAUCUCCAUCUCAGCAUUAAUGACAUUUGGGGCCAAAUAAGUCUUUGUUGUGGGGGUGGAGAGGGCCUGUCUUGUGCAUUAUAAGAUGUUUCACCACAUCCCUUCCUACUGGCACCUACUAGAUGCCGUUAGCACUUCUCAUCAAGUUAUGGUAACCAAAGCAGUCUCUAGUCAAUGCCAAAUGUCUACUGGGUGGGGUGAGAGUGGGGGGAAGCAAAAUUGCUCCUGAUCUAAAACGAGGGGCCUUGUACCAUGACAAGCAGCAGAGCUGGA
ensembl:lincRNA